ACGGGUGAGUAACGCGUGGGAAUCUACCCUUCUCUACGGAACAACUCCGGGAAACUUCAGCUAAUACCGUAUACGUCCUUUUGGCGAAAGAUUUAUCGGAGAAGGAUGAGCCCGCGUUGGAUUAGCUAGUUGGUGGGGUAAUGGCCUACCAAGGCGACGAUCCAUAGCUGGUCUGAGAGGAUGAUCAGCCACACUGGGACUGAGACACGGCCCAGACUCCUACGGGAGGCAGCAGUGGGGAAUAUUGGACAAUGGGCGCAAGCCUGAUCCAGCCAUGCCGCGUGAGUGAUGAAGGCCCUAGGGUUGUAAAGCUCUUUCCCGGUGAAGAUAAUGACGGUACCCGUAGAAAAAACCCCCGGCUAACUUUCGUGGCCAGCAGCCCGCGGGUAAUACAAAGGGGGGCUAGCGUUGUUCGGAAUUUACUGGGGCGUAAAAGCGCACGUAGGCGGGACUACUUAAGUCAGGGGGUGAAAAUCCCCGGGGGCUCAACCCCCGGAAACUGCCUUUUGAUACUGGUAUAUCUUCGAGUUCCGAGAAGAGGGUGAGUGGGAAUUCCGAGUGUAGAGGUGAAAUUCGUAGA
rnacentral:rRNA from 1 species